AAAGCCUGUUUGGUGGUCUCUUCACACGGACGCGCAUGAAAUUUGGUGCUGUGACUCGGAUUGGGGGACCUCCCUUGGGAGAUCAAUCCCCUGUCCUCCUGUUCUUUGCUCCAUGAGAAAGAUCCACCUACGACCUCAGGUCCUCAGACCGACCAGCCCAAGAAACAUCUCACCAAUUUCAAAUCCGAGGCCAGGCUAACAGGGACUGCUGAUGGGGAAAUAAAGAAAUAAUCAAGGAUGAAUCCUAUAUCUGGGGCUUGAGCAAAUACGUUCAAGUCCUGACACUGGUACCUGUGAAUGUGAUCUUAUCUGGAAAGAGAGACUUUUUGGCCUAUGAGAUGUGGGGGCCCCAAAUCCAAUGACUGAAGUCAAUGGAAGAAGAUGAGAGGAUGCACAGAGAGACACACAAAGAGAAGAGCACCAUGUGUAGAUGGAGGCACAGGUUGGAGCGAUGCAGCUACAAGCCAAGGAACACCAAGGAACUAGAAAGAGGCAUUAAGAAUCCUUCCUUAGAGCCUUCAGAGGGUAGCUGGCCCUGCUGACACCUUAAUUUUGGACUUCUAGCCUCUAGAAUUAUGAGUGAAUACAUUUCUGUUAUUUUAAGCCACAGAAGUGGUAAUUUGUUAUAGCAAUGCUUGGGAACAAAUACAUAUACCAAUAUGGUUCUAUUAGCUAGUAUACUCUAAUUUUAUAGUCGGUAAUAUCAAGGGA
rnacentral:lncRNA from 10 species